UCGCCGCGCCGGCUCCGCUGCGCCCGGCCUGCCGGCCUCCGCGGGGUCUUCCCGGCCGCUCGGGCCUCCUGCCCUUGCCUCCGCGGAGGGAGUGGGUGCCGUUUCCUGGGCGGACGGCGGUGGGCAGGUCCCCCCCACCUCCCCCCCAAACACACACCUCACCCCCCCUCCGCCCCUGCUGCACCGUCCCCGGCGGAGGCCGCAGGUGCCCGGGCCCCGCGCUCCGCCGGCCGCGGUCGAGGGGAAGGGGGUCGCUCUCGGGGGAGAAGAGUCAGGCUAAGAGGCGGUGGGGCCGGGGUCUGUUUACCACCUCUCGCGGCCGCCCCUCGGAACCUGUCAUGUCCAGCCUGGAAGAGCAACUUCAGGUUUUGGAUUCCUUUGAGAUUCUGGCAUACACACUGGACAUCUGUUUAGACAACAUAGUUAAACAAAAUUUUGUGUAUAAUUUUGUUUUCAACCUCCCCCCAACCUAGUCAAGUUCAUCCCAUGGACUACUACAGUAAGAGUUUUAAGGAAGAGCAGACGGAUCUGUGAAAUGCUGAAUGAACAUGUCUUUCUUAAAGUUUUGUAUAUUUUUAAUAAAUACUUCUUCAUGGUUACUGUU